UCCAUGUGGUGCUUUAGACAUUCUUAAGUUUGGCUUCUAUAUUUUGUCACGACCUGAAAUUUCACAAGGAUCCGUGAUCAGCACCUGACAACCCCUAGCCGAGCGAACAAUCCCUUUAAGCAUUUUCAUAAAACUUCUAAGUAUAAAAGCUACAAUUUAAUGAGAAGGAGUUCUUAAUAUCAUAACCCAAAAGAUAAUCAACUCCAAAGUACAUAGCUGAAUCCAUGAGCUGAAUCCAACAACAGAGUCAAAGCCUAAAGGAGCAUCUUAAAGUCAAGUGGGACGCAACCACAGGACUGGGGUGGUUGACUCACCAAUGGAUCACAAAUGCUGAUCUGCUCACACACUCAGUUUACUGGCACUUGGAACUGUCAGUGCGGUUGUGGCAAGACUUCCCAAAAUCAUCAAUAGAAUAUGACAAGUAAACCAGACAAUUAUCAACAUGAACUGAAAAUCAUGAUAUAAUUGAGGCUACAGUGGUAUGAAGACAGAGUGAUUAACAUGAAUGAAAAGUUGAAUCAAAUGAAAGCAUCAAUAGGGUUAAAGAGGAAUAUGCUGAAGAUUAGUAGACUACUGGGGAUAAAAUUUUCGGAUAUUGAAGAUAAACUUUUAGAACUUUUGUUACGUAUUGAAGAGGGAAGGUCCAAGAAGCAUUCUUCUGUGUGCAAGGCAUCUCCUGGCAGGAAGGGUGAGAGGGAAUUGAAAGCCUUAGAAUUCGGAAUGGGAUUUAAAGGCGAAUCCAGCAAUGGCGGACGAAGUAGGGGCAGGAGGAUUUCAAUUAAUGAUAAAUGAAUUUGAAAUGCUUUUGUUGGAAUGCGAGGGG